rnacentral:rRNA from 1 species
UACGUAGGGGGCUAGCGUUGUCCGGAUUUAUUGGGCGUAAAGAGCGUGUAGGCGGCCAGGUAGGUCUGCUGUGAAAACUCGAGGCUUAACCUCGAGAUGUCGGCGGAAACCAUCUGGCUAGAGUCCGGAAGAGGAGAGUGGAAUUCCUGGUGUAGCGGUGAAAUGCGCAGAUAUCAGGAAGAACACCCGUGGCGAAGGUGGCUCUCUGGGACGGUACUGACGCUGAGACGCGAAAGCGUGGGGAGCGAACAGG